UUCCUCUUAAUUCCAAAAAUCUUUAAGUGAUAAUUAAAGAAGUAAUAUUAAGAAG
rnacentral:tRNA from 1 species